AUUGAACGCUGGCGGCAUGCCUAACACAUGCAAGUCGAACGGUAACAGGCCGCUGGGAUCCCUUCGGGGUGACCUUGGCGCUGACGAGUGGCGGACGGGUGAGUAAUGCGUAGGAAUUUACCUCAAAGCGGGGGAUAGCCCGGAGAAAUCCGGAUUAAUACCGCAUGUGCUCUACGGAGGAAAGCGGGCCUCUUCUUGAAAGCUCGCACUUUGAGAUAAGCCUACGUCGGAUUAGCUUGUUGGUAGGGUAAAAGCCUACCAAGGCGACGAUCCGUAGCUGGUUUGAGAGGAUGAUCAGCCACACUGGGACUGAGACACGGCCCAGACUCCUACGGGAGGCAGCAGUGGGGAAUAUUGGACAAUGGGCGCAAGCCUGAUCCAGCAAUGCCGCGUGUGUGAAGAAGGCCUGCGGGUUGUAAAGCACUUUUAUCAGGAAAGAAAAUCAUAGGGAUAAUACCCCUGUGCCUUGACGGUACCUGAUGAAUAAGCACCGGCUAACUCCGUG
rnacentral:rRNA from 1 species